AUGCAAACCGCGGUUCACGUUGAACCGUCAACCCGUCUAAAACCGCCAACCCGUACAACCCACCUAACCCGUAUUAUACGGUUCCGGUUUCACAUUUUUUUAACCCGGCACGGCACGGCCCGACCCGCCUAUAUAGCCGUGCCGGUUACGGUUUCACCGGCGACGGUUCGGAAACCGUCUGAACCGGCCCGAACCGCCCCGGCCCGCCCGAAUGGCC
rnacentral:lncRNA from 1 species